GCCGGUGUAGUGUAAUUGGUAACAUACCAGAGUCUAGAAUUAGACGUGCACCUCAGCGGUGUGGGGAUCUUGGUUCGAAUCCAGGUGCCGGUA